GGGGUAGCCAAGCCUGGUCAACGGCGCAGGACUUAAGAUCCUGUGGAGAAGUCCUUCGUGGGUUCGAAUCCCAUCCCC
rnacentral:tRNA from 1 species